AUGAUAAGGUUGUUAAACAGUUUAAAAAAUGUUUCUUUAGUUCUUAUUUCAAAUUUGUGUAUUAAUUCUUGAAGAUAGUUGCUAUUUUAAUUUAAAACAUUCAGUGGAACAAAUGGCAUCAGUUGAAUCUAAAGUACCUGUUACCAAGCAUGUUUUUGCUACUUAUGCAGAUGUUUGUGCGAAAAUUGCAGAGCACGAAAUGUUGCACACAGUGCAUUAUGUUGUAACUUGUACAGGUAGCAUGGAAAAGAACUAUGAAGAAUUGUUCAAGAAAGAACACAAGUUGUUUUAAGAGGACAAAGAUUUUUCCUACACAGGAGUACCUUCAUUGUGUCAACACCAGCAACACUCGACUGUCAGCAUGGAAAAGACAGAUAUAUUUAAAAAAAGGCUCAGUACAGGAUAAAGAAAAAUAUUGAAGCUAGUACAGAUCAUUAUUGCCAAAAAAAUAGAAUCAUUUUGCAGGAUACCAAAAAAUUUGAUUGUCCUGCCAUGGUCUAUAUAAAAGAAAUUAUUGAAUUUCCAGAGUUUAAGGUUUCUAAAAAUACAGUACGGUUAAGAAAGGAAACAUCAAAAAAACUCCGUUUAGCUUUAAUUGACCCUGAAAUUUACUUAAGUGCAGAAAGUAUAUCCUAGUAUUGCCUGAUAUUUCUGUUCUUAAGAGUCAUGCAGUAGGUGAUAAUGCAGGUAUCAGUCAGCCCAUUUCUGAAAAUAUUAUAGUAAAAGUUGCUGAUCUAGUAAAAAAAGGUGUUAACACUGUAUCGGAAAUGAGACGACAUCUUGAGUUUUUUGUUCAAGCAGAAUUUAAUGUCAAUAAUAACCUACAAAGCGCAAACAAAUGUUACUUUCCAAUAGAUAAGACCAUUCGAAAUCAUAUGCUAAAUGUGAGAAGAAAACUUCGCAGAUCUUUGAUAGAUCAAGAAUGUUUGCAUGAUAAAAUAAGUGAAUGGCAAAUAAUUUUCCAAGAAGCAAUGAUAAAGUUUAGACCAAAAGGUGUAAACAUGGUUGAUGAUCCAGAGAUUAAGGAUUCAUUGUUAUUUAUCUAUCAAGAUGUUUGGCAGAAAAGAUUACUCUUGCGAUACGGAAAUGAGCUAAUUUUUCUUGAUGCAACAUACCGCAUAACUAGGUAUGCUCUCCCACUUUUUUUUCUGGUUGUUAAAACAAACAUUGAUUAUCAGGUUGUUGCCAUUUUUGUUUGUGAAAAUGAAACCACAUCUGCUAUCACAGAAGCACUAUUAUGCAGUAAAGAAUGGAACCCUACAUUUCAGCCAAAGUUUUGUUUAACUGAUUACUCAAAUGAAGAGAUAAGGUCAUUAGAGUCGGUCUUUCCAGGCUGUAAUGUUUUGAUAUGCGACUUUCAUCGAGAGCAAGCUUGGGAGAGAUGGCUUUCCAAAACCUCUAAUGGAUGUUGUAUUGCUAAAGAUGCAAUUAAGGUAAAAUUGCAUAAAAUUGCUCAUGCAACUACAGAAGAAAUUUGCCAACAUGCUGUUAAAGCCUUAAAAGAUUCUGAAGAGUGGAAAAAUAACCCAAAACUAGCUGAAUAUUUAAACAGAACUUGGUUAUGUAACCAAAAGGAGAUGGGUAUUAGCUUUUUGGCGACAACGCUUAUUGCGAAAUAUUAAUACUAACAAUGGCACUGGAAGACAAAACCAAUCUUUAAAAUAUAGUUUUUUGGAAAUAAGAAAAAAUUCUUCUUUGACAGCUAUGCUUAGUAUAUAGUUAGUAGAGGAGUUUCUACUUCACAAUUAUGAAAACUAUGCUGAUAAAAAUAGGAGAGCACAUUCAUCUUACAGAAAAUAUAAGGCUAAUAUUCCAGCAUAUUUGACAAAUCGUCCACAACCUUUAGUAAAACAUUGCAUGAAAUUGAUAGAUAAAGUAAUAAGCAUGGAUUCAGUCAGAGUUAGUGCAGUAACAGACAGAUUAUACAAUGUUGCUUCAUUUCAGAGUAAUAGUAGAGAAACCUACAAAUGCAAUCUUGGAUGUGCAAACCAAUUGGCAUUAUUGUUCAUGUUCUGCUUAGUUAUUUAGUGCAUAUCCGUGGAAACAUUUUUUUGCCAUUUUUAUUAAAGAAAAUAUGUCGUGGUCUGAUUUUGAUCCCUCUUAUGGAGAAUCAGCAUAUUUUGUGCUUGACCCAUUGUCAGAUUGCGGUAUUUUUAUAGAUUUGGUUUCGAACAAUAUAUCAUCAAGUCUGCAUAGCCUUGAAGAUGCAAAACCACUGAAUGAAUUUGUUUCGCAUGAACAUAAUCAGCCAAUACAUAGUAUUCAUUGUAUUAAUAGUAAAGUGUCAAACCUUGAUCAAAAUGUAGUGCAUGAUCUCUCACAGUCAAGGCACACACCAGCAGCAUGUCGUGAAGUUCUUAAUGCAAUAAUAAAAAUGACAUAUUUAUGUGAAUCUCAAAUUGCUACAGACAAUCUAUUUGAUGAGCUUUCUAAACUUAAAACAAACUUUGCAAAAACUCUUAAAAAUGAUCAAGCGGUUAUCCUACGUCCAGGUAAAGAACCAGAAACAUGGGUCAAGUCAGAUACAAAAUUACCGCUAUAAAAUUUCGACACAGAAGGAAAGUGUCCAAAAGAGUUGGUUUAAAACAUGAUAAGAUCAAGGCAGCUUCAAAUAUCGAUGUGCUAUUAAAAGCAAAAGAUAAAUCUUGUAUCACCGAGAUUUUAACAAAUCAUGUAAUGGAUGAAAAUUGUGAAAUGUUUACAGUACCCAAUGAAUCAAACAUUGAAGGUAGUGUAUGUAAAGUAAAAGUAAGAGCUGAUAUUUGCCAAGAUUUUGACGAAGCCAAUAUUGUUAAUGAUAAUUUCCAACUUAAAAAGGAUCUGCACUCUAUUCAGCAACUGAAAUGCUCAUUGAUUGGAGAUUUAGAAAGGGAUGACAUAGGAAAAGGAAAAAUGAUAAAUGAUAAGGUCAUUCACUUUUGUCAACAAAUGAUGUCAGUUCAGUUAAACAUCAACAUUGGCCUGCACGAUCCCAUUAAAGGAAAGGUUAUGUCUUUUGAUAUAUGUCCAAGUGAUCCAUUUGUGCAAAUUCUGCAUGAUGGUAAUCUACAUUGGGUGUGCAUUACCACAUAUGAUUGCAAGCCUGGGGAAAUAUAUGUUUUUGACAGUCUUUUUCAUGGUUCAAUAAGUAUUGAGACAAAAAGGCAAAUAUGCUCUAUUUUGCACUGUCCAAAAAAAAAAUUGUUAUUAAAGUUUUACCAAUUCAGCAGCAAACAAAUGGUGUAGAUUGUGGUCUUUAUGCUAUUGCAUUGGCUCGACAGGUACUUGAAGCAAAUAAAAUACCACCAAGUACUCUUAUGUUUGAGCAAAGUAAAAUGAGGAUUCACCUUCUUAACUGUAUGCUAAACAAUCAGUUAGAUGUUUUCCCAACUGCCAUUACUCCUUCUAUGUUUAGAAGAUGUGUAGCAAAAAAUUUCAACAUUCCUCUACAUUGCUCAUGUCGAAUGUUUUGGAUCCUUGAAGAUGAGCACAUUUUUAAUAGGCAAAUGGCUCAAUGCUGUCUUUGUAAAAAAUGGUUUCAUCGUGAGUGUCAAAAAAUUCCACUGUGUGCUUAUGAAAAGGAAGAUGUAAUAUGGAACUGUUCUAAUUGCCAGAUGCACACUACGUGAAGUUAAGGUUUGAUCUGUUAAUAAAUGUCAUAAGUUGUUAAGGUAACCCAACAUAUUAAAUUGUUAAAAUUAUAGUUGGUUAUUGUUACAAAGGUAAUUAAUAUUAAAAGUAUUAUCAUAAAUAUUGAGAUUUUUUUAAUAUAAAUUUUCAUUGUUGCAUUUUAUAUUUUUGAAAUUUUAGUUUUAAGUUGACAAGUGAAAAAAAGAUUUUUUAUUUUUAAAAUUCUUUAAAUUUUAACCACUAUUUAAAUGCGGUUUAGGGUUUUAGUAUUCAAUGUUUCUUCUUCACCACUGAAAUUAAAUGAAAUAGUUCCAUUCUUGCAUUUCUGUUGCUGUUAUUAUAAUACAAAAAGCUUGAAAAUAGUACCAGUUAUUGGAUAUGCAAAUAGCUUGGUGAUGAUACCAGCAAUCCGAUUGUAGUUAUUGGAUAUGCAUAUAGCUUGGUCAUGAUACCAGCUAUCCAAUUGUUGUUAUUGGAAAUGCAUAUAGCUUGGUGAUGAUACCAGCAAUCCAAUUGUUGUUACUGGAAAUGCAUAUAGCUUGGUCAUGAUACCAGCAAUCCAAUUUUUGUUAUUGGAUAUGCAUAUAGCUUGGUCAUGAUAUUAGCAAUCCAGUUGUUGUUAUCGGAAAUGCAUAUAGCUUGGUGAUGACACCAGCAAUCCAAUUGUUGCUACUAGAAAUGCAUAUAGCUAACAGCGAAUAUUGGCGCCAUAUGAUGCAUAUUUUACGUAUAAAUCUGUUAUCAUAGUUUAGUAAUACACCUUCACUCUCAUUCUUAUAGACAAAAAAGGAACUCCAAUGUUUCUCGACCAAGUUCAUGAAUGUAAUAAAUGUUUAAUUUAUAAUAA
rnacentral:lncRNA from 1 species